CAUGGGGGAACCCUGAUGCAGCGACGCCGCGUGGAGGAAGAAGGUCUUCGCGAUUGUAAACUCCUGUUGUUGAGGAAGAUAAUGACGGUACUCAACAAGGAAGUGACGGCUAACUACGUGCCAGCAGCUGCGGUAAAACGUAGGUCACAAGCGUUGUCCGGAAUUACUGGGUGUAAAGGGAGCGCAGGCGGGAGAACAAGUUGGAAGUGAAAUCCAUGGGCUCAACCCAUGAACUGCUUUCAAAACUGUUUUUCUUGAGUAGUGCAGAGGUAGGCGGAAUUCCCGGUGUAGCGGUGGAAUGCGUAGAUAUCGGGAGGAACACCAGUGGCGAAGGCGGCCUACUGGGCACCAACUGACGCUGAGGCUCGAAAGUGUGGGUAGCAAACAGGAUUAGAUACCCUGGUAGUCCAAGGGCGAAUUC
rnacentral:rRNA from 1 species